rnacentral:lncRNA from 1 species
AAUUUGCUGAGACCUGAAUGAAAUGCAAGAAAAUACGAUUAUGAAAUGGUCUACCUAAUUAAUAAUGUUGCUAAAUUGAACUUCAGUGUCUGGUUGACAGCUGACUUAAUAUAACCUAAAUAGGAAGACAACAAAGCUCAUCUAGGAAAACUCAUUUUAAAGUUUAUUAAUGCUGUUGUCCGUACGCCUGCUGGCAGAUCAUUUUAUUUUCAGUGAAAGAGUCCUACAGAACCCCAUUAUAGGCCAUAUAACCUAUAUUAUGGUCCUUCUGUGUUGAGUGGGAGUGACACACAGUCCAUCCCCAUCUGGAAACAUCAUUUGAUGCAUGCUACGACUGAUUAGAUGGAACAACCUCUUUCUACAUAAUGAAGUUUACUGCAGAGAAAUUUACAGGGAAAAUAUUCGUGGACAAAGGCCAAGGGACGGAGUUGACACCAUACAAGUCUUGACUACCUUUAUGGAGGUAACAAGCCUGGAUCUGCUCUGAGAGGUCAACCAAAGGGUACCUGAGUACCUAGUGAACUAGGUGAGAUUGUUCUGUUUCCAUACUCUUUCAUAUAAUUUUCCCUGCUGCCAUUCAGUCACAUUCUGCUCACUCCUACACAUUGAAACCUAUUCCUAGGGAGGAUCUGAUAUUUCCUUAGUUAAGUCUUUUUAUUUUAGGAAUCUUCAGUGUUUGAAUUUGCCUCCAAUGUGAAAUGCAAGGAUUUUGCCUUCACUAUUGAGCUUGGAGAAAGAGGAAGAGAUUUAUUUGGGGUGGAGAAUGAGAAGCCUUCCUGGUGACUGCCUCUUCCUCGAAUUGCCUUUCUGCUCCAAGGUAAUGACUUCAGUGUUGUCAACGAGAAAGCACCUGAGCUAGUAAAGAGAAGCCAAGCAAGAGAGAGAUUCACCCCAUUGCCACUCAUUAAAUACUUUGCUCAUAAAAAAUUUUGGAAAUAUAUUUAUUAAAGAUCACUGUGUGUAACAAUUUCUAAAAUGUCAUUUGGGAUGUUACAUGAGUGAUCAACGUGAGGAUGACAUGAAAAUCCUGAACUAUUUCUAGCAGAUUUUAGCAGUGAAAGGCAUUUGGUUUAAUACUGUAAAUACAGUACCAAAGUUUGCAAAUUGCUGAACCAUGGACCACAGAGAGGUUAAAAGCAUGGGUAUUUGAGGCAGAUGGCCUGAAGGUUUAUGUCCCUGCUGCGUCAUUUACAAUCUCCAUGAUCAUGGGCAAGUUACUUAACUUCUGUAAGCCUUAAUUUCCUCCGCAUAAGCUAAAAUAAAGGUUUACCUUCCUUAUGAGUAUGGUAAGACAAAUACCUUAGAUAAUGCAUAUAAAGUAAUCAACACCAUGCCUUGAACACAGUAAUUGCUCCAAAAAUGUUAAUUAUUGCCACUACCAUUCUAUUAUUAUCAGAGUUGUUAUUUUUUCAUAUAUUUGCUCAAAAAUACAGUGGAAAUAUAAGCAUGUAAAUGUUAUUGGGUUCAGUAUAAUAUACAAACAUUAGCAUAAGUAUUUCCUGUCUCAUGAGCUUUGCAUGGAGAUCACCUGCUAAUGAAUGUGGAAAAAUAGAAAUAAAUUUAGAAGAUUUCUGUAGAAUUGAAGUUAUUUUCAGGUUCUCUAACUGUUAGAAAAAAUAAAAGCAGUAAAAAAAUUUUAUCUUAAAGCACUCCGUUAAAUCAAAUGCUUUGAAAUAUUUUAUUUAAAGAAAUGCUAAUUCGGAUAUCUUAAAAAAGAAUGAGAUCUAAAAGAUAUCAGAUGGCAGACCAAAAGAAAACUGGGCAUAAUUUUCCAAAAAAUAUUUUAUACUCUGUCCUUGGUUUUCAUUUAUUUUGGGGUAAGUUUCCAUGGAGUUCUAUCUUUGUGGAGUAAUUGAACGAGGCUGAUGUUUAAAAAGCCAGAAAAUAUUCCAGAAUAUUAAGCCUGAAAGCUAACAUAACUUUCCCUUUAGAAGCAUUUAAGAGAGAUGGGAUUUCUCUAACCUGUAAUCAAAGAUUACUUGGAUCAGAAUCACCUGGGGGCAUUUGUUAACAAGGCAGAUUCCUAAACCCCAGAGGCCACAUUAAAUCAGACUAUUGUCCCAAUAAUACACAUUUUUAAAAGAAUCUCUUUACAUUGUUUAAAAGUCAUUUUGAUAAAUGCUGGGCAAAUAAAUGCCUUCUUUGAAUAUUUUAAAGGAAAGCACUUCUUUUGCUAGUAUUUAUUUUAAAUGAAAGCUCCUCAUGGCCAGGUUUUUAAAAAUUAUUGUUAUUAAGCUUUGGCUUUAUGAGGCUAGCGAAUAUGAUUCUCAUUUCUGGCAACCGCCAAGUAUUAGA